rnacentral:rRNA from 1 species
GAUGAACGCUGGCGGUAUGCUUAACACAUGCAAGUCGAACGGACUCUUCGGAGUUAGUGGCGGACGGGUGAGUAACGCGUGAGAAUCUGGCUUUGGGUUCGGGACAACCACUGGAAACGGUGGCUAAUACCGGAUGUGCCGAGAGGUAAAAGAGAAAUUGCCUGAAGAUGAGCUCGCGUCUGAUUAGCUAGUUGGUGAGGUAAGGGCUCACCAAGGCAGCGAUCAGUAGCUGGUCUGAGAGGAUGACCAGCCACACUGGGACUGAGACACGGCCCAGACUCCUACGGGAGGCAGGAGUGGGGAAUGUUCCGCAAUGGGCGAAUGCCUGACGGAGCAAUACCGCGUGAGGGAAGAAGGCUCUUGGGUUGUAAACCUCUUUUCUUAGGGAAGAACAAAAUGACGGUACCUAAGGAAUCAGCAUCGGCUAACUCCGUG